AGAGUUUGAUCCUGGCUCAGGAUGAACGCUGGCGGCAUGCCUAAUACAUGCAAGUCGAACGGACCGAAGGGAAAGCUUGCUUUCCCUGAAGUCAGUGGCGAACGGGUGAGUAACACGUAGGUAACCUGCCCAUGUGCCCGGGACAACGCCUGGAAACGGGUGCUAAAACCGGAUAGGUAGAGAGAUCGCAUGAACUUUCUAUUAAAGGGGCUACGGCCCUGAACAUGGAUGGACCUGCGGUGCAUUAGCUAGUUGGUGAGGUAACGGCCCACCAAGGCGACGAUGCAUAGCCGACCUGAGAGGGCGAACGGCCACAUUGGGACUGAGACACGGCCCAAACUCCUACGGGAGGCAGCAGUAGGGAAUUUUCGUCAAUGGGGGGAACCCUGAACGAGCAAUGCCGCGUGAGUGAAGACGGUCUUCGGAUUGUAAAGCUCUGUUGCGAGAGAAAAACGACACGGAUAGGGAAUGAUCCGUGGGUGAUGGUAUCUCGCCAGAAAGUCACGGCUAACUACGUGCCAGCAGCCGCGGU
rnacentral:rRNA from 1 species